CACGCAUUCUGUUGCUUCGGCCAGAAUCAGAUUCCAAUGGUGAAUCCACUCGAUCUGCGCUUCGGCCAGAACCCGAUUCGGAUAACGAAUCCACGCAUUCUGUUGCUUCGGCCAGAAUCAGAUUCCAAAAGUGAAUCCACGCGAUCUGUUGCUUCGGCAAAGAUCCACACAGCAAAAGUCGCUCUUGAUCAGAGUAAGACUAUAAACAUGUAGUUCCGUUGGCCUGGAACUAGAUUCUGAUAAUGAAUCAGUCCCUCUGAUAAUGCAUGGACCACGCGGAGUCAUUAGUGUCGCUGUGGGCACAAUGACUAGAUUCAGGGGUGAAUCAGUCCAUCUGAUAUGGACCACACGUACUAUCUUGCUCGGGGGGGGGGAGACUGAGGCUACACGGGUGUUUGCCAUGCUCUCUUCAGGGGGGAGUACUGGUGAGACAUGCCUGAACACGUCAGUCACUCCCAGCAACGCCCUUCGACAAGAACUAGGGUUCCGUCACUUGCUGCCGGACCCCCGGAGAGUUCCACGAAUCCGGAAGGAGUGUCUACGUCAAGUACUCAAGGCAGCACCUGGGAG
rnacentral:lncRNA from 1 species